GAACACAGACACUCUCGCCUUUGCCUCCAAACCCAGUAUCUCGCUACAGCUGGUGCACUGGAAGUUAUGAGCACAAACAGAUGCUGCAGAGAAAUCUGUUUCUAUUGCUCAACUGUUCCAAGCAUGUCUCAGUAUUUUUAGCUCUGGGGAUGUUCUGGUGCGCACACAAACUAUAUAGGCAUGAUCUGGGACUCCGGAGCGUGGGUGAGCGCUACAGCAGUGUGACAGCUGGGCACCUCUGGAGCAGCGGGGCAAGCCUGAAGUGUCCCCAGAGUUUCCAUUCCAGGCCUGAGAUGAGUGAUUAUCCAGCACAGAUUGCCUUAUUUAUUUGGAAGACUCUCCAUCUCAGUCCAGCUGCUUUUUCUUGGGACAGCAGACAGACCCUGGACACGGUAUCCUUUUACGUUACAGUAUUUACAAAGUAG
ensembl:lincRNA